UACGUAGGGUGCAAGCGUUAAUCGGAAUCACUGGGCGUAAAGCGUGCGCAGGCGGUCUUGCAAGACAGGUGUGAAAUCCCCGGGCUUAACCUGGGAACUGCACUUGUGACUGCAAGGCUGGAGUACGGCAGAGGGGGAUGGAAUUCCGCGUGUAGCAGUGAAAUGCGUAGAUAUGCGGAGGAACACCGAUGGCGAAGGCAAUCCCCUGGGCCUGUACUGACGCUCAUGCACGGAAGCGUGGGGAGCAAACAGG
rnacentral:rRNA from 1 species